CACUGCAAAUGCUGCAAUGGUCUCAUCGAGGUGAAUGGAUGGCGCCGGAAGUGAUUGACUCAUGUACCCUGCAACACAAGCUACUGGAACCUGUUCUGCUUCUGGGCCAGGAGCAGUUUGCAGGUGUGGACAUCCUGUCUGGGUGAAGGAUGGUGGUCAUGAGGCCCAGUUUUAUGUUAUCCAUCAGUCCAUCUCCAAAUCCCUGGUGUCCCAUUACCAGAAAUAUAUGGAUAAAGCUUUCAAGAAGAUAAAAGACAUUCUCAGUCAGUAUGACCAGAUACUGCUGGUAGCUGAU
rnacentral:lncRNA from 1 species